UACGUAGGGUGCGAGCGUUGUCCGGAAUUAUUGGGCGUAAAGAGCUCGUAGGCGGUUUGUCGCGUCGAAUGUGAAAACCCGGGGCUCAACCCCGGGCCUGCAUUCGAUACGGGCAGGCUAGAGUUCGGUAGGGGAGUCUGGAAUUCCUGGUGUAGCGGUGAAAUGCGCAGAUAUCAGGAGGAACACCGAUGGCGAAGGCAGGUCACUGGGCCGCAACUGACGCUGAGGAGCGAAAGCAUGGGGAGCGAACAGG
rnacentral:rRNA from 1 species